rnacentral:rRNA from 1 species
AUACGUAGGGAGCGAGCGUUGUCCGGAAUUACUGGGUGUAAAGGGAGCGUAGGCGGGAGUGCAAGUCAGAUGUGAAAUAUAUGGGCUCAACCCAUGGGCUGCAUUUGAAACUGCAUUUCUUGAGUGAAGUAGAGGGAAGCGGAAUUCCUGGUGUAGCGGUGAAAUGCGUAGAUAUCAGGAGGAACACCGGUGGCGAAGGCGACUUACUGGGCUUUUACUGACGCUGAGGCUCGAAAGCGUGGGGAGCAAACAGGAUUAGAUGCCCUGGUAGUCCACGCUGUAAACGAUGAUUACUAGGUGUGGGGGGACUGACCCCUUCCGUGCCGCAGUUAACACAAUAAGUAAUCCACCUGGGGAGUACGGCCGCAAGGUUGAAACUCAAAUGAAUUGGCGGGG